GUAGGUGGCAAGCGUUGUCCGGAAUUAUUGGGCGUAAAGCGCGCGCAGGCGGUUCUUUAAGACUGAUGUGAAAGCCCACGGGCUCAACCGUGGAGGGUCAUUGGAAACUGGAGAACUUGAGUACAGAAGAGGAAAGCGGAAUUCCACGUGUAGCGGUGAAAUGCGUAGAGAUGUGGAGGAACACCAGUGGCGAAGGCGGCUUUCUGGUCUGUAACUGACGCUGAGGCGCGAAAGCGUGGGGAGCAAACAGGAUUAGAUACCCUGGUAGUCCACGCCGUAAACGAUGAGUGCUAAGUGUUAGGGGGUUUCCGCCCCUUAGUGCUGCAGCUAACGCAUUAAGCACUCCGCCUGGGGAGUACGGCCGCAAGGCUG
rnacentral:rRNA from 1 species